ACACCUCCAAGGUCAUGUGGCCAGCCAGAGCGGUACCUAUUGAUCUACUCACAUUUGCAUGUUUUCGUACUGCUAGGUUGGCAGAAGCUGGAGCUCCCCAGAUUCGAACCUGUGACCUUUUGGUCGGCAAGUUCAGCAACCUGGCGGUUUAACCUGCUGCUCCACGGGGGUCUCACAUAAAACUAUAGCUGAUGUUAUUAAUUCCUGACUUAUUUAGCCCAAAAACUCAUGUUGUGAGCUGAGACCCAGUGAACCAUUUUCAGUAUCUUAGAUCCUCAUAGUGGUAAUUUUUCAAUUUCUGGGCAUUUAUGCUUUUAAUAGCAAUAAUUAAAACAUAGAAUGAGAUUAAGGUAGAACCCCGUUCUCCAAAGGCUGGGUGGCCAUCUGUCAGGAAGGCUUUGAUUGUGUCUUCCUACAAGGCAGAAUGGGGUUGGACUGGAUGAGCCUAGGCUUCUCUUCCAACUCUGAUUCUAUGAUCCUUUAGAAGUGACAUUCCAGCUACUCCAAUUCCCAUAAUGUCCCCUCCAAUAAGUUCAGUGUUGUUAUUUUUUAUGUUCUCAGCUUGACUUAAAAGUCCAAAACUUGAUUCUGGGAAAAAAAUCCCAAGCAAAACCUGAAAAGAUCUCACUUCAAGUGGAGAUAUUCCUAACUGUAUUGUUACCAUUCUUUAGUCCUAGAUUUCAUAUUUGGUGAGUUGCCUCCCAAGUCUUUGAUCAAGACAAAGCUCUUGUUUCCAAGGCCACCCUACCCUCUACAAAGACCACCGUUUCACACAAAAAUUUGCUUCACUCCUGAAGAAAGAAGCCAAGAAACCGUGACCAAUGCUCCGGAAAAGGACGCGAAGGAAGCAAUUCUGGAGAAACAUUUCGUUCGCAUUGGAGGCAUGUUGAUUAUGCCAGUCCCGGCACCGGGCCCGAUCUUCACAGAUGAAGAAAUAUAAAUGUUGAACCGUAAGAUCACUUAAAACAGCAACAAAGGAUUGAUAAAAAGCACAACUCUGUCUUAGGUAAUAAAGUCAAAGACACAAAGAAUGAAUGUCUGUCAGAAGAGUUGAGCAUAAAAUCAGGAACAGCCCAGUUGGUUUCACAAAUCAUUGGGAAAUAAUGGUUUCCCUUCAAAUUUUAAACUAGACAUAGUUGCUUAUGAUGCCUGAAUUCAGGAAACUGUGAUUUUCUUAAACUAUGUUUGGAGGAGUAGUAUCACUAUUUGGUUCUGCUUUCUCAAGUAUUUAUUUUUCAUGUCAGGAGCGACUUGAGAAACUGCAAGUCGCUUCUGGUGUGAGAGAACUGGCUGUCUGCAAGGACAUUGCCCA
rnacentral:lncRNA from 1 species